rnacentral:lncRNA from 1 species
UUUCAAUCUUAAAAUGAUAACUAAAAAUCAUUAGAUAACUUGUUCAUCAUAGCUGAGAUUAAUCUAUUGACUCAUCAAUAGGCAUGUUACUCCUACUUGGACCAAAUUCUUUGACAAGACUUACUUUAGAAAGCAAUUAUGAAAUUAAUAACCAUAUAUAUUUGUAUCCAAAUUGCUCCCACUCGGAAGUAUAUCCAUCAAACUUUUUAUAGCGAAAGCAGCCUUGUCGCAAGUUUAAUUUAGAGGUAAGACUUAU